AGAUAUGAGGCAAUCUGGCUGUGACGUCUGUCACUCCAUCAAUCACCAGGGUUGAUUUGGCCCAUCUGUCUGCCUAGGUGGGUGUCCCCUUCCUCCCUCACUGCUCCAUGUGUGUCCUUCCUGAAGCUAAACAAUUGGUCAAAGAGGACAACCUUCCCGAGAGAGGACUGUUCCUCAGUGGAGAGUGUAAGAGUAGCUGUGCCUCCUUGCUAGAACCUCCAAACAAGCUCUCAAGGUCCAUUUGUAGGGGAACAUAUGGUAGUGAAGCUUCCAAGACUCCAGACACAUCCAGAUGAGGUGCUGCAUGUGGCAGUCUGCCUUUAUUU
rnacentral:snRNA from 1 species